rnacentral:rRNA from 1 species
AUUGAACGCUGGCGGAAUGCUUUACACAUGCAGGUCGAACGGCAGCACGGGUGCUUGCACCUGGUGGCGAGUGGCGAACGGGUGAGUAACAUAUCGGAACGUAUCCAAUAAUGGGGGAUAACUAAUCGAAAGGUUGGCUAAUACCGCAUACGCCCUACGGGGGAAAGCUAGGGACCUUCGGGCCUGGCGUUAAUGGAGCGGCCGAUAUCUGAUUAGCUAGUUGGUGGGGUAAUGGCCUACCAAGGCGACGAUCAGUAGCUGGUCUGAGAGGACGACCAGCCACACUGGAACUGAGACACGGUCCAGACUCCUACGGGAGGCAGCAGUGGGGAAUUUUGGACAAUGGGCGCAAGCCUGAUCCAGCCAUUCCGCGUGAGUGAAGAAGGCCUUCGGGUUGUAAAGCUCUUUCGCAAGGGAAGAAAACUUAUCCUCUAACAUAGGAUGAGGUUGACGGUACCUUGAUAAGAAGCACCGGCUAACUACGUGCCAGCAGCCGCCGCGG